ACGAAUUCACUUGAUAGUCACGUUUGUCUACAAGUAAUAGCUAUGUACGUGUCAAAUCCAACAAGUUUCCAUCUUUCCCAUAACCUCGUUUAGAUAGCUGACUAAUUUCUAACUCAUUACAUCAUGAUUUGCUGACACGUUGGCCUGUUAAAAAUUUUUUUGCGUUGGAAACCGAAUAGUUCUUGUUGUAAAUUUUUUGUUCAGUAGCUCGCGCGGCCCACACUUUGACAUGAGAAUGACAGAUUCUUCAUCGCAAAAUAAUAACGAUAGUGCUAACGGUUCUCAUGGCAAGCGUACUGCUCAGAGUAGUGGAAGCUCCGGAGCCUCUUUCCCAAAAAUAGUGAAGUUUAAUGGUAAUGUCCAAAGAACCCCAGGCCGAGAUUCAGAUGCUACCAAAAGACCUGCACCAGCACAUUACUCCAGAGAGGAUUUACUAGCCCAGAAACAAGCUUUACCAAUUUAUGCAGUUAGACAGAGAUUAUUGGAAGAACUCAGGAAACACCAAACAUUAAUCAUUAUUGGAGAAACCGGGAGUGGGAAAACAACCCAGAUCCCUCAGUUGAUUUUUACUCAUGGCAUGACAGAAAAUGGAACUAUUGCAGUCACACAGCCUAGGAGGGUUGCUGCCAUUACCCUAGCCACACGAGUGGCACAGGAAAUGGGUGCUCAACUGGGCACAACAGUUGGCUACACUGUGCGCUUUGAAGAUGUGUCGAACUUCAAGACCAAAGUGAAAUUCUUGACUGAUGGUAUGUUACUUCGAGAAGCCAUGUUGGAUCCCUUACUGAAGAGAUAUAGUGUCAUCAUCCUGGAUGAGGCCCAUGAAAGGACCAUUCACACAGAUGUGUUGUUCAGUGUUGUGAAAACAGCCCAAAAAAAGCGAUCUGAACAGGGAAACAAUCGAUUAAAAAUUGUUAUUAUGUCUGCUACGAUGGAUGUUGAUCAUUUCAGUCUGUACUUUAACAAAGCUUCCGUAGUGUACCUAGAGGGACGGCAAUUCCCUAUCCAAGUUUUUCAUGCCAAACAAAUUCAGGAAGACUAUCUUUUUAGUUCAUUGGUGACACUCUUUCAAAUCCACAAAGACGCUCCUGCCGAUCAUCACAUUCUCAUCUUCUUAACGGGUCAAGAAGAAAUCGAAGCGUUCGCCAAAAGCGCCCGCACAAUAGCUAAAGAUCUUCAAGGCAAGUAUGCCAAUUUAAAGGUGUGCCCACUUUUUGCCAAUUUGCCUCAAGCUCAGCAAAUGGAGGCCUUUAGCAAUCCGCCACCUAACACGAGGAAAGUGGUACUGAGUACAAAUAUUGCGGAAACAUCCGUUACAAUCGACGGUAUACGCUAUGUUAUCGAUUGUGGUCGUGUCAAAGCCAGAACUCAUAUGCCCGCAACAGGCAUGGAUGUCCUUAGGAUACAAAAAAUUGCUCAGGCCCAGGCUUGGCAAAGAGCUGGGCGAGCAGGCAGACAAGCUGCCGGCUUUUGCUACCGUGCCUAUACAUUAAACGAAUUUGAGAAAAUGGCGCCCAAUCCAGUACCUGAAAUUCAACGCUGCAGUUUGACCACGGUUGUGCUUCAGUUACUCGCCUUGGGCGUUCAAGAUCCACUGCACUUUGAUUUCAUGGAUAAACCUCCAACUGAACUAAUUGAAGGCGCCAUGAAAGAACUUUUCAUGCUGGGCGGCAUUCAGUCGACAGAGAAACCCGUGUUGACAGAAGUAGGCCAACAGAUGGCGGCUUUCCCGCUCGAUCCGCGCUUCACUAAACUCAUCUUAGCAUCUAAAGAUCUCGGAUGCACGGAGGAAAUUGUGAGCAUUGUAGCGCUGCUAUCGGCCGAUUCGAUCAUGGUGAACGCUACUGCUCAACGGGAGCAGGCCAACAAUGUCCGUGCUAAAUUCGCGUCUUCCGAAGGUGACCAUAUGACUCUGCUCAACAUUUUCCGCGCUUUUAGAACAGCAAAACAGAACAGAAAUUGGUGUUUCGAAAAUUUCGUCAAUUACCGCAAUUUGAUGUACGCCGUUGAAGUGAGGAAACAGUUGGCGGAAUUGUGCGAACGGACAAACAUCCCCAUGAAAUCUUGCACACCGUUGACGGAACCUGUCCGUCGCUGUCUCUUGGCCGGCCUUUUCCUCUCAGUCGCUGAAUACCAACGCGAAGGACACUAUCUCACUCUUGGAUCGCGCCAAACAGUGGCCAUUCACCCAUCGUCCGUCCUUUUCCACACGAAACCCUCUUGCAUUGUAUUCACCGAGCUCAUACAGACAGGCAAACGUUAUGUGCGUCAAGUGACGCUCAUAGAUCGGGACUGGAUCGAAGAAUUACCCAAAGAGACUCUUCUACAGCUGCGCCAAACAUUUCGAGGGACCGUCAACGGACCGAAUCGCAGUUAACGGACGACAACGUUCUUAUUAUUAUGUUCAACCACAUCGGCAAAGCCAAUACAUCCAUUAUGAAAAUUAAAAAAAAA